AACGAACGCUGGCGGCAGGCCUAACACAUGCAAGUCGAACGCCGUAGCAAUACGGAGUGGCAGACGGGUGAGUAACGCGUGGGAACAUACCCCCUCGGUUCGGAAUAACUCAGGGAAACUUGAGACUAAUACCGGAUACGUCCGAGGUUUUAAUCGACCUUGGAGAAAGAUUUAUCGCCGGAGGAUUGGCCCGCGUCUGAUUAGCUUGUUGGUGAGUAAUGGCUCACCAAGGCGACGAUCAGAGC
rnacentral:rRNA from 1 species